rnacentral:rRNA from 1 species
UACGUAGGGUGCGAGCGUUAAUCGGAAUUACUGGGCGUAAAGCGUGCGCAGGCGGUUCGUUAAGUUCGAUGUGAAAGCCCCGGGCUCAACCUGGGAAUGGCAUUGGAAACUGGCGGACUCGAGUGUGGCAGAGGGGGUGGAAUUCCGCGUGUAGCAGUGAAAUGCGUAGAGAUGCGGAGGAACACCGAUGGCGAAGGCAGCCCCCUGGGCUAACACUGACGCUCAGGCACGAAAGCGUGGGGAGCAAACAGG